rnacentral:rRNA from 1 species
UACGUAGGGUGCAAGCGUUAUCCGGAAUUAUUGGGCGUAAAGAGCUCGUAGGCGGUGUGUCGCGUCGGCCGUGAAAACCUGCAGCUUAACUGUGGGCUUGCGGUCGAUACGGGCAUCACUGGAGUUCGGCAGGGGAGACUGGAAUUCCUGGUGUAGCGGUGAAAUGCGCAGAUAUCAGGAGGAACACCGGGUGGCGAAGGCGGGUCUCUGGGGCCGAUACUGACGCUGAGGAGCGAAAGCGUGGGGAGCAAACGGG